AGAGUUUGAUCCUGGCUCAGGACGAACGCUGGCGGCACGCUUAACACAUGCAAGUCGAACGAGAGAAGAGGAGCUUGCUUUUCUGAUCUAGUGGCGGACGGGUGAGUAACACGUGAGCAAUCUGCCUUUCAGAGGGGGAUACCGAUUGGAAACGAUCGUUAAUACCGCAUAACAUAAUUGAACCGCAUGAUUUGAUUAUCAAAGAUUUAUCGCUGAAAGAUGAGCUCGCGUCUGAUUAGCUAGUUGGUAAGGUAACGGCUUACCAAGGCGACGAUCAGUAGCCGGCUUGAGAGAGUGAACGGCCACAUUGGGACUGAGACACGGCCCAGACUCCUACGGGAGGCAGCAGUGGGGAAUAUUGCACAAUGGAGGAAACUCUGAUGCAGCGAUGCCGCGUGAGGGAAGAAGGUUUUAGGAUUGUAAACCUCUGUCUUCAGGGACGAAAAAAGACGGUACCUGAGGAGGAAGCUCCGGCUAACUACGUGCCAGCAGCCGCGGUAAUACGUAGGGAGCGAGCGUUGUCCGGAAUUACUGGGUGUAAAGGGAGCGUAGGCGGGAUCGCAAGUCAGAUGUGAAAACUAUGGGCUUAACCCAUAAACUGCAUUUGAAACUGUGGUUCUUGAGUGAAGUAGAGGUAAGCGGAAUUCCUAGUGUAGCGGUGAAAUGCGUAGAUAUUAGGAGGAACAUCAGUGGCGAAGGCGGCUUACUGGGCUUUAACUGACGCUGAGGCUCGAAAGCGUGGGGAGCAAACAGGAUUAGAUACCCUGGUAGUCCACGCC
rnacentral:rRNA from 1 species